GACGAACGCUGGCGGCGUGCUUAACACAUGCAAGUCGAACGGAAAGGCCCUGCUUUUGAGGGGUGCUCGAGUGGCGAACGGAUGAGUAACACGUGAGUACCCUGCCCUUGACUUAGGGAUAACUACAGGAAACUGAGGCUAAUACCGGAUAGGAGCUCCAGCUGCAUGGUGGGGGUUGGUUAGUUUCGGCGGUUGGGGUUGGACUCGCGGCUGAUCAGCUUGUUGGUGGGGUAGUGGCUUACCAAGGCUUUGACGGGUAGCCGGCCUGAGAGGGUGACCGGCCACAUUGGGACUGAGAUACGGCCCGGACUACUACGGGAGGCAGCGGAGUGGAAUAUUGUACAAUGGGCGGAAGCCUGGUGCAGCAACGCCGCGUGCGGGAUGACGGCCUUCGGUUUGUGAACCGCUUUCGCCUGUAACGAAGCGUGAGUGACGGUAAUGUGUAAAGAAGCACCGGCUAACUACGUG
rnacentral:rRNA from 1 species